rnacentral:tRNA from 1 species
CUCUGUUUAGCUCAGUUUGGUAGAGUGGGCCGUUUGGGGCGGUCAGGUCGGCGGGUUCAAAUCCUCCAACAGAGACCA